AACAGCUUGAGUCAACAAUUGCCAACUGGGCUAGUGAAAUGAAAGAUUGGGGGGAGAAAGGGGGAGAAAAAGGACUCUGAAGGAGAAGGUUCCAACUUGUGAAGAGAAUGAUCCCGAAGCCUCAAGUAAAAUACUUCAGAGAAAAUGUGUGAGAGAAUCUGGACUCCUGAGCCCGGACAGAGCUAGAGUAACAUAAAUUUAGGAGUAUUUCACAGGCCCUCUCAGAGGCCCAGAGAGGCCUGACCCAUUUUCAGCCCCUAGCCACCACAAAAAAUUAAAAUUAUGACACUCAAUAACAAAAUAAGGCACACAAAAAAAAGAGAGAGUGGUUUGUUUACAUAAUCAGUUGUUCUGAGAGGAAUAUUAAUCACCUAUAACUGGGCCCUGUGUAUUAGUAUUAGUAUUUAUGAACAUAAAAACCUCUUGUGUUUUUAUACUGCAAACCACUCUGUGAUUCUCAAAUGAACGGCGGUAUAUAAAUUCAAUAAAUAGGAUGGUGAUGAUGGUGGUGAUGAUUGGACCAAAUCUACAUAAAUGGACAAAAAAAAGUCUUUUACCAAAUUACACCUCUAAUUUACUUCAAUCUGCAGCUCUGUGCUUUAAGAGAGUGUCACAUUUGGGCUCAAUGCACAAGUUAUGAAAUUUAUCAAAUGCCAACAAAUUAACAAGUGUCUAAAUCUGAGGUUUCCUUUGAGCUUCAGGCCCAUGAAAAGGAAUUCUAACUGAUUAACUGAUGAUAUAUUGAAAUUCAAAAGUUAAUGCUAAAUAUGUUCUAUCUAAACCAUGCUUGGCUUCUUCUUUUUGCAAACUGUUAUAAACCAAACUCAUUUUUCUUUACACUGUUUUGUUCCCUAUUUUUGGUGAAGCUUGUUGCUAAGGCUCUUGCACAUUCUGAACAUGGUUCAGUGGUAGAUUCCACCCAGGGAGAAUCUGUUAAAAUUAUAUUAACCAGAGGAGUAGAGCAGAAUUAUAACCCCAUUAAAAGUAACCCCAAAGCUGAUUCUGGAAUACACUGGGUGUUGGGAUUCAGACCCAUUGUAGGUGCUAAACCUUGAGUCCGAGAGAUGUCAGGCAAAUUUUUUGUCUCCCUGAUUUUCAAGGAUCAGAUCUGAUGCAGAAGAUAGAAAACUACCAUUUUGCACAAAUGGCACAUCUGUGUUACAUUUUCUCCUGCUUGCAUUUAGUGCUGAUCUGCAGUCUUAUACAGCUCUGACCUGAAGGCUUGGGAAAAGCUAACAAAAGACCAAAGGGGGAUGCAGUUACUGCUGUCUUCGCUGUCCUUCCACAGUUCCCUACAGCUGCUACUGGGCUCUGGUUAUGGGACAGAUCUUUGUCUUGAGUUUGAUGGUAAAAGUUCACUCCUAAUUCAAAAAGCCUAAUCACAGUAAGAGUGAGCCCUAGAGUUGCAGUUCAGGUCUAAGUCCUACACCUGCCACUAGCUAGCCUUCCUGCUGCUCCUGCAGUUCCUUUGAAACAAACAAAGCACCCACAGAAUAUAUUUCCCUUCAAGAAGGGAUGGUCUGAGAAAGCUACAGUCCCAUAUUCCCUAGCAUGACAGCCAGAGAGCAUGGGAUUUGUAAUUUCUGCUGUACUAUUACCAGUUCUAUUUGAGAGACCAAAUGAGCUACAAAUUUCAUGUCCUGGUAGGAAAUUACACUCUCAGGAUUACCAUUUCCAGUUAACAAGAGAUUCAGCAAUACCUUUGCUAACCUUAACGCACCCUUAUUGACACUCGAUAAUCCCUCUUCUUAAAGGAAAUGGGUUUUCACUACAGGAGAGUAAGAUAAAACGGAGAGGGAUCCACUUGUUUUUUCAGCUCUUCUUUUGAUCACUUAGACACAAGCGCUCAAACACUCGGAAUGAAAGCUCACAAAAACUUAGCUGAAAUUGGGUCAAGACAAGAUAAUUUAUAGGGAUCAUUUGAUGCUUUCAGUGAACCAUGUCAGAUUCUUGAAAAAUGUCUUGCCUGGGGUAUUCUCAAGGAAGGUUGUGACUGGAUCAGGAAUGGAUUUUACCUCUUUAAAGUUAAGUGCUCGAUUUUCUAAAACCAAAACAGGGAAGUGUUAUAUAGCACUUUCAGUCAUAUAAACUUAAUCCACGUCCCAAAGAGCCAAAACUCUAUGAAGAUAAAACUAAUGUGUGGGUGGGAGGAACAGCAGCAUAACUUAAUAGUUUAUCCUCCAAGAUAAUGACUCUCAUGCUUUUCUGUUUCCCUACACAGCACCUAGGCCAAAUGGUCCAUUACUGAAGUAGCAACCACAACAAACAUAGACCUUCCAUCUGUUACAGUACUUACAUUUGAAAACUGAAAUAACUGUAAUGUAAUUCAAAGCAAAGUGUUCAGUUAAUGUUUAAAAGUGCUUUGUGGGUGACAGUUGUUUCCAAGAAUGACACAUCUACCCCAUGCC